AUGGCUCAGGAUGAACGCUAGCGGCAGGCUUAACACAUGCAAGUCGAGGGGCAUCGGGAGUAGCAAUACUGCCGGCGACCGGCGCAAGGGUGCGUAACGCGUGAGCAACAUGCCCGUAUCAGGGGGAUAAUCCAUGGAAACGUGGUCUAAUACCCCAUAGUAAUUAUGUAAGGCAUCUUAUAUAAUUUAAAGCUUUGGUGGAUACGGAUUGGCUCGCGUGACAUUAGCUGGAUGGUAAGGUAACGGCUUACCAUGGCUACGAUGUCUAGGGGUUCUGAGAGGAAGGUCCCCCACACUGGAACUGAGACACGGUCCAGACUCCUACGGGAGGCAGCAGUGAGGAAUAUUGGACAAUGGAUGGAAAUCUGAUCCAGCCAUGCCGCGUGCAAGGAAGACGGCCCUAUGGGUUGUAAACUGCUUUUGUAUGGGAGCAAUAAGGGCUACGUGUAGUCCGAUGAGAGUACCAUACGAAUAAGCACCGGCUAACUCCGUGCCAGCCGCCGC
rnacentral:rRNA from 1 species